rnacentral:rRNA from 1 species
UCCUACGGGAGGCAGCAGUGGGGAAUAUUGGGCAAUGGGCGAAAGCCUGACCCAGCGACGCCGCGUGGGCGAUGAAGGCCUUCGGGUUGUAAAGCCCUGUCAUGCGGAAAGAACGACCCUGUGACGCAUACUCACAGGGAGUGACGGUACCGCAGGAGGAAGCACCGGCUAACUCCGUGCCAGCAGCCGCGGUAAUACGGAGGGUGCAAGCGUUGUUCGGAAUUAUUGGGCGUAAAGGGCGCGUAGGCGGCAGUGUAAGUCAGAUGUGAAAUACUCCGGCUCAACCAGAGAACAGCAUCUGAAACUGCACAGCUAGAGUACAGAAGAGGGAAACGGAAUUCCCGGUGUAGAGGUGAAAUUCGUAGAUAUCGGGAGGAACACCAGUGGCGAAGGCGGUUUCCUGGUCUGAUACUGACGCUGAGGCGCGAAAGCGUGGGGAGCAAACAGGAUUAGAUACCCCUGUAGUC